GAUUCCGUAGGUGAACCUGCGGAAGGAUCAUUAUUGUAUAACCGAGGUGCGAGGGCUGUCGCUGACCCGAAAGGUCGUGCACGCCCGAGUGCCCUCACACACAUCCAUCUCACCCCUAUGUGCACCACCGCGUGAGUCCCCCUUUGGCUUGUUCGGAGGGGGGCUUACGUUUUCACACGAACUUUGUAUGCAGUGUAGAAUGUAUUUUUUGUUUUUGCGAUCACGCAAUCAAUACAACUCUCAACAACGGAUCUCUUGGCUCUC
rnacentral:misc_RNA from 1 species